rnacentral:lncRNA from 1 species
AUUUUAGUAUUUACCUUAAUCUUGAUGUAUAUUCACUUUUAAAUUUUAGUAAACAGCUAGUCGACUUCCAUUUCUUUCAUUAUUGGUUUACAUGAUGAUGUCAUAAGUGAUGUCACAAAUGACGUCAUAAGCAAGUAUUCUCGUUCUUUUGAUCUAGGCAUGACAGUUGUGAAAAUAUCGACUUGUUGACUGCUUUGUUGAUCUUGUCACAAAAUUUUGUUACCGUAAAAAAUACAGGAUAAAGGAAGGGAUUGUUACAUCUAUGCAGCAACUUGUCAACGAAUAGUCAAGGUCUUGGCGGAUGUUUUGAGCGCACAGUAACAAACACUGGUCUAAGUGUAUCAACGCAGGAAGCUACAAGAUACAUGUGAUUACAUCUGCUGAUCGGAAGGAGUUGCUGAGGAUGUAAAAAAACAAGCCAUAUUUUGGGGAAAUGGAGUAGGAAGACGUUGGCUGGUUGCAGUGGCAUUUUAACAGUACCGCAGUAGAUGUUUAGGAAGUGCUGAUAGACGAAGCUAUGAUUACCUAGUAGAGCAAAACAGUUCCGCAAUCCAGAAUUCCAGAAACAAAGGAUGCAUCAUAGUUGGACUAGUGUAAACGGAAUUAAUGCAGUGGACUUUUAUUUGUUGGACAAUCCAUAUUAUUCGUUUGACAAUUGAUUUAUAAAGACACCUGUCAAAAUGUAUUAGGCAGGUAUAAAACAAAAUAAAAGGCUUCUUAUGGUCAACCUUCAUACUA